UGAAUACGAGAUGUUACGGCGUCGAAGCAUUCUAUGUCAUACUUCCAAGAAAAGCUUGCACUGUCAUAAACAAAUAAUGCCUGUACCAUAACCGACACAGGUGGGUAGGUAGAGUAUACUAAGGGGCGCGAGAUAACUCUCUCUAAGGAACUCGGCAAAAUGACUCCGUAACUUCGGGAGAAGGAGUGCCUUAUUUAUAAGGUUGCAAUAACAAGAUCCAAGCAACUGUUUACCAAAAACACAGGUCUCCGCUAAGUCGUAAGACGAUGUAUGGGGGCUGACGCCUGCCCAGUGCCAGAAGGUUAAAGAAGUUGGUUAGCAUCCGCGAAGCUGAUAACUGAAGCCCUGGUGAACGGCGGCCGUAACGAUAACGGUCCUAAGGUAGCGAAAUUCCUUGUCGGGUAAGUUCCGACCCGCACGAAAGGCGUAAUGAUUUGGAUACUGUCUCGGAGAGGGGCUCGGUGAAAUAGACUUGUCUGUGAAGAUGCGGACUACCUGCACCAGGACAGAAAGACCCUAUGAAGCUUUACUGUAACCUGAAAUUGAAAUUGGACUUUACUUGCGCAGUAUAGGUGGGAGGCGUUGAGAAUAUUCUUGCGGGAUUAUUGGAGCCAUCAGUGAGAUACCACUCUUGUAAUGUUAGAUUUCUAACUUUGUAUCAUUAUCUGGUCAAAGAACAGUUUCAGGCGGGCAGUUUGACUGGGGCGGUCGCCUCCUAAACGGUAACGGAGGCGCACAAAGGUUUCCUCUGAACGGGUAGAAAUCGUAUCUAGAGUGUAAAGGCAUAAGGAAGCUUGACUGUGAGACCUACAAGUCGAGCAGGGACGAAAGUCGGUCUUAGUGAUCUGACGGUGCUGAGUGGAAAGGCCGUCACUCAACGGAUAAAAGUUACUCUAAGGAUAACAGGCUGAUCUCCCCCAAGAGUUCACAUCGACGGGGAGGUUUGGCACCUCGAUGUCGGCUCAUCGCAUCCUGGGGCGGUAGUACGUCCCAAGGGUUGGGCUGUUCGCCCAUGAAAGCGGUACGCGAGCUGGGUUCAGAACGUCGUGAGACAGUUCGGUCCAUAUCCGGUGUAGGCGUUAGAAUAUUGAGAGGAGCCUUCUUUAGUACGAGAGGACCGAGAAGGACAUACCUCUGGUGUACCAGUUAUCGUGCCAACGGUAAACGCUGGGUAGCUAUGUGUGGAGUGGAUAACCGCUGAAAGCAUCUAAGUGGGAAGCCCACCUCAAGAUAAGUAUUCUCAU
rnacentral:rRNA from 1 species